rnacentral:lncRNA from 1 species
CUUAGGCAAUAAAACUUUGUCGAAAUGUGAUCUUUCCAAAACGAAGUUUGUUCCUCUCGAUCUAAGGACUAUCUGUGAGCUGCCUAGUGCUAGGUUUACCAAGUGUGCACCACACCUAAACCUAAAGCCUUGCCUAGGUCAAGCUACUAAUUUAAUGCCCCUCUUAAUAGUACGGCCAAAGGAAAACAAAUUCCUAAACUACUCUAAGUGCCCUUCUUCACCAUAUGGCACUUAGACCUAGUCUAGUCCCGACGAUGUCCAACCAUCCUUUGAAAACCGAAAUGAUUUCCACUAUUAGUUAGGCAUGAACGUCCUUAUCCAUCGAGUACCUAUUACCAUGACCUAACACUAAUGACUUUGCCUCUGCAAAACACACGUUAGUCACAGUAAUCAACAAUGUCAUUAAUCACCGAAACUCAUUAGGGGCCUAGAUGCUUUUCAGGUCACAAAUUGCAAAUUAAAGUAUUAUAAGUUUUUAAUUUUUUCUAAACUAAUUAAAAUAAAAAACCAUAGUAUCACUAUUUCUCUAACUAAACCAUUAAAUAUGGUAGACAUAAUAGUAAUGAAAAGUUAAUUUUUAGGGAACUAAUUAUAGUUGGUAUCAUUCAAAUAUUCAAACAAUCAAGUGAUUGGAGUUUAAAAUAGCGUAGAAUUCAUAAAAUAAAAAAAAUAAAACACACUAGGAAAUGUCAUAUGUCGCUGCUAAUGUUGAGAAGAUGAAGCUAGUGACCUCUUAACAAGUUGAUGACGGCGUAGAAAUGAUGAAAUGAAUCAAUAGCCGGAGAUGAGAGCAAGAACAAGCAAGAACAAAUGUGAAGAACACAGCAAAAGAGUGAAGAUCGGGCUCGGCCAGGAGAAGAAGAAGAGUUCAAAUAUGGGGAAGAACAUUUAAUCCCAGUUACAGUUACCAAUCGGAACUAAACUCCAACAUUUAGUCCCGGCCGGUGAGACGGACCGGGACAACAGCUUUUAAUCAUGGUAGGUGUUACCAACCGGGACUAAAUGUUGGGCUUUAGUCCCGGUUCGGGAGACCAACCGGGACUAAAGGCCCCUUUUGCUGAUCUCUGACACCAUAGCCGUUGGGCAGGGGACUUUUAGUCCCGGUUAGUCUCACUAACCAGGACGAAAAAUGUUUUUGUCCCGG